rnacentral:rRNA from 1 species
UACGUAGGUCCCGAGCGUUGUCCGGAUUUAUUGGGCGUAAAGCGAGCGCAGGUGGUUUAUUAAGUCUGGUGUAAAAGGCAGUGGCUCAACCGUUGUAUGCAUUGGAAACUGGUAGACUUGAGUGCAGGGGAGGAGAGUGGAAUUCCAUGUGUAGCGGUGAAAUGCGUAGAUAUAUGGAGGAACACCGGUGGCGAAAGCGGCUCUCUGGCCUGUAACUGACACUGAGGCUCGAAAGCGUGAGGAGCAAACAGG